rnacentral:rRNA from 1 species
GACAGAGGGGGCAAGCGUUGCUCGGAAUUACUGGGCGUAAAGGGCGCGUAGGCGGGAUGGCAAGUCGGUCGUGAAAUCCCUCGGCUCAACCGAGGAACGUCGAUCGAUACUGCUGUUCUUGAGGAUUGCAGAGGAGACUGGAAUUCCCGGUGUAGCGGUGAAAUGUGUAGAGAUCGGGAAGAACAUAGUGGCGAAGGCGGCCUGCUGGGCUGUUGCUGACGCUGAGGCGCGACAGCGUGGGGAGCAAACAGG